rnacentral:rRNA from 1 species
AACGAACGCUGGCGGCAUGCCUAACACAUGCAAGUCGAACGAGACCUUCGGGUCUAGUGGCGCACGGGUGCGUAACGCGUGGGAACCUGCCCUUAGGUUCGGAAUAACUCCCCGAAUGGGGUGCUAAUACCGGAUAAUGUCUUCGGACCAAAGAUUUAUCGCCUUUGGAUGGGCCCGCGUUGGAUUAGCUAGUUGGUAGGGUAAAAGCAUACCAAGGCGACGAUCCAUAGCUGGUCUGAGAGGAUGAUCAGCCACACUGGGAAUGAGACACGGCCCAGACUCCUACGGGAGGCAGCAGUGGGGAAUAGUGGACAAUGGGCGAAAGCCUGAUCAAGCAAUGCCGCGUGAGUGAUGAAGGCCUGAGGGAAGUAAAGCACUACUAACCGGGAUGAUAAUGACAGUACCGGGAGAAUAAGCUCCGGCUAACUCCGUG